AAUACAUAUCAACUUGCAAAUACUUCAUAUCUGUUGAAAAAUACUGAAAUUAAGCAAAGUAAAUUGAUUGUAUCACCUAUAUAAUGUAUAACAUAUUUAAUAUCCUGUUCCAUAUCAUCCAUACAUAAGGUAUUUUAAUAUCCUGUUUUUUCUUUCUGAAAGCUCAUGAACCCGUUGGAUGAACAGUUUACGCCAUAUUUCUGUUUUCUUCCUUUUUUCUGUUCUCUUGAAUUAUGUUGUACAUGCCUAUCGUGAAUUUAUUUCAAUGUGUUUACGAUUGAUUAAUUUAUUUAAUGCAAAUAUGUUUUGAUAUUGUCUAUUCAUAUUUGUUUACUAACAAAAAAAUGGAUUACGGAGAGAAAAAAUAUAUUUCCUAACCGAUGUGAAAAUGUUUCCGAGUGCAGCCAGCAUGAUAGCUGGUUAUUUAUUGUCUUUCUGGAGAGGUGGGGGUGAGGGAGGGGGGGUGAAGGUGAGGGAGGGGGGUGGGCAGAUAUUCUACUUGUGUUAAUUCAAGUGACUCAUUUGUAAAAUCCUGUCCAGGGGUGGCGUGCACACUGUCCACAGCAGUGGCCUGGCUGGUGACUGUGAGAGAGAGGUGUGUUUGGGACAUGUGAGGUUUAUCUGUGUCAGUGGCCUGGCUGGUGACUGUGAGAGAGAGGUGUGUUGGGGACAGGUGAGGCUGAGCAGUGUCAGUGGCCUGGCUGGUGACUGUGAGAGAGAGGUGUGUUGGGGACAUGUGAGGCUGAGCUGUGUCAAGUGAAGAGCCUCAGGUCUGCCCCACUCACAGCAGCUGCACUCACUCAAACGGCCUCUUCCUCUUGACUGUGAAGGUCGGCCUGUUUGUACAGGAUGCUGUCUGAUUGUAGAACAGGAAGUGCUGAGUGGAUGUUGGGGUCAGAGGUCAGUCCACAGCCCAGGAGCUGUGGGUAGUGUUUAAAGAAUCUCAGUACUGGACUUUUCCCCCAAACCGUGAAAGAGAAGCAGUGGAAUGUGGUGAAGUAGUACGGGACUCAUAGAAAUGAGGCUGUAGGAUAUGGAAAAAAAGACACUGUGUCAGUGGUUAUGAGGAGGUGUGUCAGUAGUUAAGAGGAGGUGUGUCAGUGGUUAUGAGGAGGUGUGUCAGUAGUUAAGAGGAGGUGUGUCAGUGGUUAUGAGGAGGUGUGUCAGUAGUUAAGAGGAGGUGUGUCAGUGGUUAUGAGGAGGUGUGUCAGUAGUUACGAGGUGUUUCUAGUUUUUAAGUGCUGUGUCUGGAGUUUUGAGGUGCUGUGUUGCUAUGUGAAGGUGUGUCUUGUUUUUGGAUGCCGUUUAUUUUGCUAUGCAACAGCUUUUUUGUAGAUUUUAGAGGGACAGAUCGGAAAAUUGACUAGAGAUGAGAACGAUGCUGAAAUGGAUGUAGCUUUUAGAUGCAUAGAUGGCUCAGAGAAAGGUGUAGUUCUGAAACUGUAGAUAAUGUCUUACAUCUUUAGAGCUGGUAAAAUGAUGCUGAAACCUGUUGGUGUGACUGGUUAUAAUGCCUUAUAACAAGUUGUCACAUCAGGGAAAAGUGCCAAUUUUCUUAUUUUGUAAAACAGAACAGAGACCGUAAUGGCCUGAGGCCUGGAGAUAUAGAAAGCAGACACAUCACACACACACGCGCGCACAUGCACACGCACUCACACACACAGACACACACACACGUCACACGGCUCACGCCGGCAUUAUAUACAGUGUGUGUGUGUGUGUGUGUGUGUGCUUGUGCGUGCGUGCGUGCGUGUGUGUGUGUGUGCUCGUGCGUGUGAGUGUGUGUGCAUGUGGCAUGUGCAUGUGUGUGUGUGUGCUUGUGCGUGUGUGCAUGCAUGUGUGUGUGUGCGUGUGCGUGUGUGUGUGUGUGCUUGUGCGUGUGCGUGCGCUUGUGCGUGUGUGUGUGCGUGUGUGUGUGCAUGUGGAAGGGUCACGCUUGGCUGUGUUGUAUCCUGGGGCAACGUGUUAAUUUGGGUCUCAUUUCACCACUAAAAAAAAAAUACUAAAGCAAAGACUUUUUUGUGUAUUCUUUUCACCACUAUGUUUGGAGGUUUAUGUGUUAUUUUUGUUAUUGUUUUCUUGGUAUUUUCAUUGAAAAAUUAUAAAAAUGUAUUUUACAAUGACAGCAACAUAAGGAAAACAGGUUAGAAAGGCGUAUAUUUAAAAAAAAAAACUAUUACAGAUGUGGCUUUUACCAUGAAUUAAGUGAGACUAAAGUAAAAAAAAAUGCCAUUUUGUCAUUGUGCUAAAUAAAUAUAAAUAUUAUAUUAUAUAUUAAAAUAUAUUUGCUAACCUA